AACGGGUGGAGCUUGUCGGUUUAAUUGGAUUCAACGCCGGAAAUCUUACCGGGACCGACAGCAAUAUGAAGGCCAGGCUGAAGACUUUGCCGGAUUAGCUGAGAGGUGGUGCAUGGCCGUCGUCAGUUCGUACUGUGAAGCAUCCUGUUAAGUCAGGCAACGAGCGAGACCCACGCCCACAGUUGCCAGCGUACUCUCCGGAGUGACGGGUACACUGUGGGACCGCCGCUGCUAAAGCGGAGGAAGGAAUGGGCAACGGUAGGUCAGUAUGCCCCGAAUAUCCCGGGCUACACGCGAGCUACAAUGGUUGGUACAAUGGGUAUCUACCCCGAAAGGGGACGGAAAUCUCCUAAAACCAAUCUUAGUUCGGAUUGAGGGCUGCAACUCGCCCUCAUGAAGCUGGAAUCCGUAGUAAUCGCGUUUCAACAGAACGCGGUGAAUACGUCCCUGCUCCUU
rnacentral:rRNA from 1 species